rnacentral:lncRNA from 1 species
UCAUAAACAAUUAUUUAAAAUUUUAAUAAUAUUUCACAAUUUUUGACUAUUUUAAAUUUAUUUAUGCGGCAAAACUGUUUUGGACAUUGAUAAUAAUCAGAAAUGUUUCUUGAGCAGCAAAUCAGAAUGAUUUCUGAAGGAUCAUGUGACACUGAAAAUUGGAGUAAUGAUGCUGAAAAUUCAUCUUUGAUCACAGGAAUAAAUUACAUUUUACAAUAUAUUCAAACAGAAAACAGUUAUUUAUAACUGCAAUACUAUUUCAGAAUUUUUGACUAUUUUAGCAUAAAAAUGCAGAAUUGGUGAGCAUAAGAAUCUUCUUUCAAAAGCAUAAAAAUCUUACUGAAAAUCAAACUUCUGAACAGCAAAGACCUCCCAGCCUCCAAAAGAUUAAACCUUAAAGUUUUUGUUUGAAGCUGUAAUACUACCAUAAGAAUUAACCUGACUUUGAAGAAAUGAAUCAAAUAAAUGGAAAUGAAUUCUUCCUAAAUGGAUAUUGCAAAAACACUCAGAUGCCAUUAUAAUUGAGGUGCUUUGACAAUAAAAGAAUCAAUAAAUUGAUACUGAUCCUCUCUGUUUGAAGGGCUUUUUAUGUUUUAGUGAGAACGUGACACAUGAAGAAUAUGACAAAGGACACACACCUACAGCUGCAUCGCGUCAAACACACAUGUGUGUACACUACAGUCGCAUCAAAUCAGUCUUGCAAAAGUGCUUGUGGUUUUGCGGAGUCGGGUGAAUGUGGAAACCAGACUCUAGCGUCACGUCCAUUCAGGAACAUUCAGGUUCUGCCUUCCUGUUUGUGCAGUAUACUGUCAAUAUAUUUCUCAUUUUGACUGCUGGGAAAAUGUGCAACACUGUGUCUACACCACACACAUACACAGAGUUUAACUAUUUCUAACAAACCAAGAUGUCUCAAAAGAACUAGUGAUGUGUUAGAUCAGGCAUUCACAAAAUUGGUUUUGUCAGCUGAACCCCUUUAACCUACAAUAUUUACUUGAAUAACCCUUGACAUUUUUUUUAAAGCAAUUUAACAAACAUUUGCAUGUUCAUGGUUGUCUGAUAUUGG